GAUCAUGGCUCAGGAUGAACGCUGGCGGCGUGCUUAACACAUGCAAGUCGAACGGAGUCUGCAUGAAACCUAGUGAUUGUAGACUUAGUGGCGGACGGGUGAGUAACGCGUGGGUAACCUGCCUUGUACUGGGGGACAACAGUUGGAAACGACUGCUAAUACCGCAUAAGCGCACAGCUUCGCAUGAAGCAGUGUGAAAAACUGAGGUGGUACAAGAUGGACCCGCGU
rnacentral:rRNA from 1 species